AACAGAUUGAAUGUAUCUAGUCGUGUAUAAAAUCUUUGUAUCUAGUUGAGAAACGUGAAUAUUAAGUACAGUUUUAGUGAUAUUAAGGUGGUAUUAUCAGUUUUAUUGGCAGUUGCUAUUGCUUCUGCCGAACCUAAUCCAGACUUUUUUUCGGACGUCGGUAAAACGUUUACCGACGGCGCUCUUUCAAUUGGUAGCGCAUUUAAUUCCUUUGUAGGGGUACCUAAUGCGAAUAUUAACGGCUACCAAUGUGCUAGUGGAGGAAAUUUGAUGCAAUACUACAAAACUAUCGGUGUUUAUCCUGUAACUGGUACGACCUAUUGCUCUUGUCCUGUGGGGCUUUUACAGAACACCGUUGGUGGACUACUUCAGCCAGGUACGCUCAACGGAGGCUCGGUACUCUCAGGAAGUACCCUUAUCAACGGUGAAAACACUGGAUCAAUCAUUAAAAAAACUGUGGAGACUGUAGUAAAGAGACAGUAAUAUUGUUAUCAAAUAUUAAACGAAUAUACCAAAAAAGAACCCACUGUGUAUUUUUUUACAAAUAUCAAAAAACUUUGAUGAAAAAAAUUCCUGUCAAAUAGAUUCCUAAUUGUUCGGAAAUAUAA